CGGACUCAGCCAUAAUCGCAGUUGAAUAUAUUUUAGGCAGGUUGAACUUGGGGUAAAUGGAAAAGUUCAAGCUUCAUUCGUUGAUUAAUUAGCGCAAAUUGAUUGCUGGCGGCUUGUGGUGAAUUGAACUUCACCACUUAGUGCCAAUCGUCCGUCUAACUACUGGCGAUACCGGGGAAAAAGAUAAAGCAGUGAGAGAGUAUUUACUCCUAGUGCUCGUACAGUUAAAGUGGUUGCGGAGGUAGCUUUGAAUGUAAUAUGCAACUCACCUCAGUUAAUGGUGGAUACAAAAACGAUUAGUAGAUGAAAGAUUUUCGCAUAUUACAGUUUCAAUGUGUUUUGUAAUUUUUGGAAUCUUCUAUCCAAAAUCAAUAUCAAAUCACAAUACAAAUGAUAGGUGGGGCUGGACCAACAUAUAUAAUAUGUACAAACGGUGUAGCCUCAAAUUUGAUGAAUAAAUGCAUAUGCAUUUGUCACUAAUAUGUAGAUUAGUCAAUUCAAAAUCUAUAAGAAAAUGCUUAUUUCUUAAGAAAUCUUAUAGUUUAAAAAAUAAUGUCUGAUAUGUAUGUAGA